ACAACACUUAUUCAACGUUAUUUCAAAGUUGGUUGAAUAUGUGCUAAUUAAAAAACGUUGAAAAAGUGUUACUUUGCUAACGUUAAUAAAACGUUGUUUUGACAAUGUUGAGAAAGUGGCACAUUGAAAAUUAUUGUCUCAAUAACUAGCCAUUACAAAAAUAAUUUGCCGUAAUGGAAAUGCAAGGAAAACUUAAAAGAAUGCAUGCAUAUGGUUUGAAGCAGAGGCAGUUGCUCCAUCUUGUUCGAAAAAAGAUGGAUAGUUAUUUUGGCCAACUUGUGUUCAUGCAAUGAAAGCUACCUAUAAUAAUUUUCCAAUCAUUGAUUCCUGCAACAAGCUUAGACUUAAAAGAGUUAAAGCAACUGUUUUUACAUAAUUUGUUUAUAUUUAUUUUACUAAAUAAUUACUAAUAGAUUAAGAAGUAUGUGCAGGAUUUAAUUUCACGACUAAAGAGGACUCCGAAGAAGAAUUAAAGUUCUUGUGGAUCAAAGAUCGAGGAAUGAUUUGGUUUUAAGUGGUUUGCAUCUUAUGAACGAAGUGCAUAAUAUGAUUUAAAAUGAUGAUUUAUAGUUACACCUA